GCCGCUUGGAGAUCUGCUUGAACGUGAGGGCCUUUUGACACAAAGAUUUGUCUCGAAGAUGUGAUGAGACUUGAGAGCAAUUCAUUUGAAGUCCUUUGAUUACAGGGUGUUGAAUCUUCUACUAUACAGGAUUUGUGAUCAAAGUGGACAAACACUACGAGCUUUGUCGAGAAAACGUGAAAGAAGUAAUACACUGUCGACGGGACUGCAUCAUGAAUCUACUAAAAGAUGUGAUGACGAGGAUAAGUGCUUGUGUGAAUAUACGGAUGACUGUGGAGGAGAAGAGCGAGCAGGUCAAGCACUUCCUAAAGAUCAUGUCGAAUCUUGAACAAAUGAUAUUGUGCUACGAUACACCAAAUGAUCUGAUGAUACCAUUAGAAGUUACUUUUAUUCGCCCAUGAAUUUAAAACUCAUUCUUAAACUCAUGAAAAGCCUCAUUUAGUCUGGAUGAAACAAGUGUUUUUAGGAGAAACAAAUGUUUUUGCAAAACUUGAAACAUAGAAAAUGAAACAAACGUGGAAAAAUCAUCUCAUUUUCAGAUUAAAUGAAAAAGUUUUAAUGUCUGUGAAGUCAAGUAAUCAAGUUGUGAUUGUAAAUUAGUGUUACAAGUCACUCCAUAUAUAAAACAUAAAGCUCCAACGACUUAAUGAGGGCAACUACGAGAAAAACACAAGUAUCGUGGA